UAUUAUUCUUAUUCUUUUUUUUAUUAUUAACCAUAGAAGUCCAAUAAAAAAUUCAAAUGCAUAACCCAUUAUGCAAUAAACAAGAAGAUAGAAAGUCAUUAUGGUACUUGAGUGAUGAAAAUGAGCUUUGAAAACAAGGAGAAACAAAACCACAUAUACAAAACAAUUCUUUCCCAGCCAAAAAAAAGAAACAUACAGCUGGUAAAAAUAUGUACAUUUCACUGAAUGAAAACCUUCUCUAGUGAUAUAGAUUCUAGGUGAAGAACAGAUUAGGCUGAACAAAGUCAUUAGACCAAUGUGUGACAGUCCACCUUUAGUUUUGUGAUAGAAAGGUUUCUUGAUUGGCCAACACAAAAACAUCACAUUUACUUCUUGCUGACAAUGUCAGGUGCUAAUAUUUUAAUUCCCAACUCCAGUACUUUUCUUAAGAGAGACGGGUAAAGGGAGCAUGAAGAACAUAGCUCAGAAUGAGGCCUGGAAUUACCAGGACAGAUUUCUUGUUUUUUUAACCAGAGGUUUUAGCUACAAGGGCAUUUAAUUGUAGACUUUCAACAUUGCUCUGAGAGUGAUGGAUAAAAACAUGCAUCUAUGUUGGUUGUAUCAAGGCAGUGGUUACCGCAGGUCGUAAUAUUCCUUAUCAUGAACUCGUUACAGUAUAGUCACAUAGGGUUAAUGGUCACUUAAAUUUGCGAUGUGACUUCAAAAGAUUAAAAAAAAAAAAAAAAAAAAAAAG